ACAUCCUACUCUGUGCAGAGAGGCUUUGGACCCUUCAGUCAUGUGACUCAGCGGCAGGUCCUAAAAACAACUACAUAGAUCAGUUAAGGGGGAAGAGUUGCUGCACAGAAGUAAUAGAUAUGUGGAUGCCUUCUGCCUCCGUCCUACUUGCCCCCAGGCCACAUUGCCCCCCCAGCUACCCUCCUGCACCAGCUGUUAUUUAUGGACCUCCAGCUGUGCAUACACCCGCCCCAGGACUUUCAUUCUUCCUUUAUCUUAAGCAGCAGCCAGUCCUAGGUUUCUGUCUGAAUACCUCUGACUGUUCUUCUCCAGCUUCCAGCAUGUGGAUACCUUCUGCCCCUGGUAUAAAGCUCCUGCCGCCUCAUUACCGCGGGUUAAUUCAUUAGGUUUGGAAGCCGAAGAGCUGAACAUCUGGACAUCAUUUGAGUUCCAUCUCGCGAGGACCCGGGCCUGCGCGCACCUCUGGUGAAUUUAAACUUUCAACAUCUCCCUGCCUGUAAUACAUAUUUUAUAUCUCCUGACUGUCAGGAAUAAGAACAUCCAGCUACCUACUGGGUUCGAAUGAAAAAAACGUCUAGUGGAAAGAAGAUUUAUCUUUAUUUAAGCGUGCACCAGGAAAAAAAAAAUCUGUGACAGGAAGGCUCCCGGGAGAUCUGCAGCUUAUUGUACUUAUUGCAUAAGAAUAAUUAAGCUGGAUAAUUACAGUGCCGGCAUACACUGUGGUUCCUUUAUAAAGUGUCUAGAAGGGACCCCUCCUCCCCCUCCUUCCUUCUUCUUCUCGCUGGUGGUGGCAGUCAUUGGGUUUAGAGCCCCUUGGGUCUUGAAUACUAACUUGCAC